AUUCAGCUGAAGAGUCCCGAAUAGGACGAAACGCGCGUCCUGGAU
rfam:Schistosoma margrebowiei strain Zambia genome assembly, scaffold: SMRZ_contig0005755